AGCUUGACGAAAUCAAGUUGAGGAGAAGCUUUGGAGGGUGUGGAUCUCUUUCUUAAGUAAGAAGAAGUUGGAAAGCAUGGUGGCCAAGCUCGAUGCGGAGGACAACUCCGAUUUGGAAUUUGACGAGGUUACCGCACUCAAUUGGAGGAAUUUGAGGAAUUUCGUUUGUUAGGUUUGAAGUGUGCCGAAUCAAUGUCGGAAACCCAAUUGCUUGGAAAUCCUUGCAAUUGGCAAUCAACCAAGGACAAGAAAAUCGGGACAGGGCUUCUUCGAUGCCCUAGUUCGGGAACAUCAUUUUAUAUACCUACUCUCUUCUAAAGUUGCAAGUGUCGAAAAUAAGCAACAGCUAAUACUGGUCGCAUCUAUGGUUAAUAGUGAUAUUUGGCAUAGACGGUUAGGUCAUCCUAAUUUUUCUGUUCUUUUUACAUUUCUUAAAAAUAAUAAAAUUA